GGUCCGAUGGUGUAGUUGGUUAUCACUUCUGUCUAACAGCGAACGGAAAUUUCGUAAGCUUUAACACAGGCGGUCCUCAGUUCGAACCUGGGUCGGAUCA